AGAGUUUGAUCAUGGCUCAGAUUGAACGCUGGCGGCAUGCCUUACACAUGCAAGUCGAGCGGCAGCGCGGGGCAACCCUGGCGGCGAGCGGGGACGGGUGAGUAAUACAUCGGAACGUGUCCUUUCGUGGGGGAUAACCAGUCGAAAGACUGGCUAAUACCGCAUGAGAUCUCACGAUGAAAGCGGGGGACCGCAAGCCUCGCGCGAUUGGAGCGGCCGAUGUCGGAUUAGCUAGUUGGCGGGGUAAAAGCCCACCAAGGCAACGAUCCGUAGCUGGUUUGAGAGAACGACCAGCCACACUGGGACUGAGACACGGCCCAGACUCCUACGGGAGGCAGCAGUGGGGAAUUUUGGACAAUGGGGGCAACCCUGAUCCAGCCAUGCCGCGUGUGUGAAGAAGGCCUUCGGGUUGUAAAGCACUUUCGGCCGGAACGAAAUCGCGCGGAUUAAUAACCCGCGUGGAUGACGGUACCGGAAGAAGAAGCACCGGCUAACUACGUGCCAGCAGCCGCGGUAAUACGUAGGGUGCGAGCGUUAAUCGGAAUUACUGGGCGUAAAGGGUGCGCAGGCGGUUCUGCAAGUCAGGCGUGAAAUCCCCGGGCUUAACCUGGGAAUGGCGCUUGAAACUACGGGACUGGAGUAUGGCAGAGGGAGGUGGAAUUCCACGUAGCGGUGAAAUGCGUAGAGAUGUGGAGGAACACCGAUGGCGAAGGCAGCCUCCUGGGCCAAUACUGACGCUCAUGCACGAAAGCGUGGGGAGCAAACAGGAUUAGAUACCCUAGUAGUCC
rnacentral:rRNA from 1 species